rnacentral:rRNA from 1 species
UACGGAGGGAGCUAGCGUUGUUCGGAUUUACUGGGCGUAAAGCGCACGUAGGCGGAUCGUUAAGUCGAGGGUGAAAUCCUGGAGCUCAACUCCAGAACUGCCUUCGAUACUGGCGAUCUUGAGUCCGGAAGAGGUGAGUGGAACUCCUAGUGUAGAGGUGAAAUUCGUAGAUAUUAGGAAGAACACCAGUGGCGAAGGCGGCUCACUGGUCCGGUACUGACGCUGAGGUGCGAAAGCGUGGGGAGCAAACAGG